rnacentral:rRNA from 1 species
GACGAACGCUGGCGGCGUGCUUAACACAUGCAAGUCGAACGGUGAAGCGCCUUCCUUUUUGGUGGGUGUGGAUGAGUGGCGAACGGGUGAGUAACACGUGAGUAGCCUGCCCCCUUCUUCUGGAUAACCGCAUGAAAGUGUGGCUAAUACGGGAUAUUCUGGGUCUGUCGCAUGAUGGGUCUGGGAAAGAUAUUGUUUCGGUGGGGGAUGGGCUCGCGGCCUAUCAGCUUGUUGGUGGGGUGAUGGCCUACCAAGGCGGUGACGGGUAGCCGGCCUGAGAGGGUGGACGGUCACACUGGGACUGAGACACGGCCCAGACUCCUACGGGAGGCAGCAGUGGGGAAUAUUGCACAAUGGGCGCAAGCCUGAUGCAGCGACGCCGCGUGAGGGAUGGAGGCCUUCGGGUUGUGAACCUCUUUCGCCAGUGAAGCAGGCCUGCCUCGUUUGUGGGUGGGUUGACGGUAGCUGGAUAAGAAGCGCCGGCUAACUACGU